CAGCUCAAAUUUGAAAGCUAGCCUUCGGGUUCGCAUUGUAAUUUGUAGAGGAUGAUUUGGGGAAGCCGCCUGUCUAAGUUCCUUGGAACAGGACGUCAUAGAGGGUGAGAAUCCCGUAUGUGACAGGAAAUGGCACCCUAUGUAAAUCUCCUUCGACGAGUCGAGUUGUUUGGGAAUGCAGCUCUAAAUGGGAGGUAAAUUUCUUCUAAAGCUAAAUAUUGGCGAGAGACCGAUAGCGCACAAGUAGAGUGAUCGAAAGAUGAAAAGCACUUUGGAAAGAGAGUUAAAAAGCACGUGAAAUUGUUGAAAGGGAAGCGCUUGCAAUCAGACUUGUUUAAACUGUUCGGCCGGUCUUCUGACCGGUUUACUCAGUUUGGACAGGCCAGCAUCAGUUUCGGCGGCCGGAUAAAGGCUCUGGGAAUGUGGCCUCCACUUCGGUGGAGGUGUUAUAGCCCAGGGUGUAAUACGGCCAGCCGGGACUGAGGUCCGCGCUUCGGCUAGGAUGCUGGCGUAAUGGUUGUAAGCGACCCGUCUUGAAACACGGA
rnacentral:rRNA from 1 species